rnacentral:rRNA from 1 species
GAUGAACGCUAGCGGCAGGCUUAACACAUGCAAGUCGAGGGGUAUAGUAGCAAUACUAGAGACCGGCGCACGGGUGCGUAACGCGUAUGCAACCUACCUUUUACAGAGGGAUAGCCCCAGAGAAAUUUGGAUUAAUACCUCAUAGUGUUAUUAGAUGGCAUCAUUUGAUAACUAAAGUUCCAACGGUAAAGAUGGGCAUGCGUCCUAUUAGCUAGAUGGUAAGGUAACGGCUUACCAUGGCUACGAUAGGUAGGGGUCCUGAGAGGGAGAUCCCCCACACUGGUACUGAGACACGGACCAGACUCCUACGGGAGGCAGCAGUGAGGAAUAUUGGACAAUGGGCGCAAGCCUGAUCCAGCCAUGCCGCGUGCAGGAAGAAGCAUCUAUGGUNUGUAAAC